GCGGAGGGAUCCCGCGGGCGGGUGCGGUGCUGUAGUUCCCGGACAUGGCGGGGGCUGGCGGGCAGCGGGGGUUGGCGGCGGAGCUCUGGGGGGUGCUGCUGCCCCCGCGGCUGGCGGCGGCGGGCGAGGAGGAGGAGAGCGAGGAGGAGGCCGAGGAGGAGCCGCACUUGGAGGAGGCCGCACUCCUGGACGAUUCCGGGCCGGAGCUAGAGGCCGCUCUGCCCCCGCGCCGAGCCGUUGUUAUACAAGAAGAGAAUUCCAGAAAGGAGUAUGAAGUAGUUGGACGUUUUCCCUUAGUUGCCCCUUGGUGGAGAGUCAAUGUUAAAGUUAAAAAAAUGGGAUCGAAGUACUUUGUGCAAGGAUAUCCAUCGUAUUUUCUGCGGACUGAUAUAGAAGAAAACAACCGACAAGUCUUUUCACUCUUUCUUAAGCAAUGUGCUGUUCCUGAGUAUUUUAUAGGCAAGUUUUUUACGUGGCUUCCUACGGAGUCUAUGCUGAGUUUUAGAAAUCUUGAAGAAAAACUAAAAGAAUUCCAAGCUUCACAUUUACAGACAGGGCAGAAACAAGGAGAAACCAAGGAUUACGAUAUCUUCUACUAUGUUUUGAAAUCAUUUGCAGGAAAGACAGUGUUGGUAGCUCUGACUUUUCCAAUGAUACUGGAAUUCUUGCCAAUUCUUCUGCCACGCCAUUUUUGCUCUCUGUUGGGUAUGGUGCAAUUGCAAGGAAAGACUGAAGAAGACAAUGGCAUGGAUGGUGAGGAACUAUGUUUUCAAGACCCAAUGUUAACAAAGUUGGAUGAGAUAUUAAAGAAUGAGCCGUGGAAGCUUGGAUUCAGCAGGAUUACUUAUAGGGAACUGAAGCUUUCUUACUGUGAGGCAACGUGGGCCACCUUCUGCCAGUGUGAGCAUCUCCUCUGGAAGAUUCCUGACUUGCAGAAAAAUGCAUUAAUUCUGUAUGAUCAACUCAAGAGAAAGUGUAGAGAAAUGGGACACACUUACGAAGAUCAAGAUGAAUUAGCUCGUUUUGUAUCUAAAGAUAUGUCCAUUGAGCAUGCUUGGCAAUCUCUUGAGUUUUUGAAAGAUCAGAACAUAGUGAUUAGGGAGAAAAAACUGGUGUUUCUGCCUCAUCUUUACAAAUCUGAAAAAGACAUUGCAAUGUAUAUAGGUGACCUUCUGUCAAACAGCUCAUGGCAACUGGAUGUUGAUGUGGGAAAGAUACUUAACAUUUCUGAGACGUCAAGGGAAACAGCAGAUAACAAAAUGAAUGGUACCCAGGAUCAUGAAAUAGAACAUCUGAAGGAAAAUAGUCUGGACAAUCAUAACUCUGAAAAUAAUUUUCCUGAAAAGGAGGUGGAGUGUGCACCUGACACCCAGAGUAAAGCAGAGGUAGACUUGGAUCAGGUAAUGGCUGUGCGAAGGAUUUGUUCCAAUCCUGUCACAAUCAUAAGUGGAAAAGGAGGCUGUGGGAAGAGUACAAUAGUUAGCUGCCUUUUUCGGCACUUAAAGCAGAUGGAAAAGGAAGUGGAAGCAGCUUCUAAGGACUUUGAAGAAGACCUGGAUGCGUCUGAGGAAUGGAAUACCUUUGAUCAUCAUUGCGAGCCAGAGAAUAUGUACACAAAAAAAAUUUUGAAUGUGCUAUUUACUGCACCUACAGGGAGGGCAGCAAGCCUUUUGAGUGAAAAAACUAAGCUUCCUGCAUAUACACUGCAUCAGAUCAUCUACAGUUUUAAAUCAUGGAGGCGGACCGAACAAGUACAGCCAUGGAAGUUUGCUACUGUGACGGUUCUGAUUGUGGAUGAAGGAAGUUUGGUGUCUGUACAUGUUCUCAGUUUAGUUUUAAAACUCUUGUGUGAGCAUGCUCAGCUUGCCAAACUUAUUAUUCUAGGUGACACUAGGCAGCUACCAAGCAUAGACCCAGGAAACAUGUUAGCUGAUAUCUUUGAGGGUCUGAAAUCAAGAGGCUUUUCUGUGGAACUGCGAACUAAUCACAGAGCUGAAUCGCAGCUGAUUGUAGAUAAUGCCUCAAGAAUCUCUCUCCGGAAGCUUCCUGAAUUUGAUGAGGUGCUGAAAGUCUCUAGUUGGAAUGAGGAAUUGACAAUGCCAAGCCCAGAGAAGAAAUUCAUUCUUAUCGCUUUGCCCACUGGCGGCGGUUGUGACGCUUUGCAAACUGCCAUAAAGACUUUACUUAAAAAAGGACCGGGAUUGCAGGAUGCCAAACAAUCGCAGUUCAUUGCUUUCAGAAGGCAAGAUUGCGAUCUAAUAAAUGAACUUUGUUGCCAACACUAUUCAGAUCAUCUAACCAGAGACCAUAAAAAACGACUUUUAUUUCAAAUUGGUGACAAGAUUUCCUGCACACGGAACACAUAUCUCAAGGAUCUCUUGCCAGACCCGGGAUUCAGAAAGGAUCCCAAUCACCAUGAAUGCAACAGUGGAGAAACCACCCUGACUACAGAGGCUGCUGAUGAGGGCAAACGACUGUGCAAUGGAGAUGUAUUUUUCAUAACAGAGGGAAAACUGGCAUAUGGACACAUGCAGAUGUAUAGGCAUCCAUCAGACUGCUGACAGGAGCUACUGCUGAGUGUUCUUCUGAUAUUAUUUCUUUAGGAUGUAGAAAUUGAUAAACAGCGUUUGCUGACCAUCAGCAGCACGUACGGCUCCACAUUCACUGUGCGGUAUAAGGCCCUGAAGAAGCUGUGUCAUAUCAAACACGCAUGGGCCAGAACUAUUCACACGUUUCAGGGUUCUGAGGAAAAAACUGUUGUCUACGUGGUCGGCAAUCCUGGCCGCCAGCACUGGCAGCACGUGUACACAGCCGUGACCAGAGGACGCUGCCGCGUCUACAUUGUAGCGGAAGAGACGCACCUCAGGAGAGCGGUCACCACCAAGAACGUGCCCAGGAAGACUCGCUUACAGAGAUUUUUGAGAGAGGCAAUCGCGGAAACAAGCAACUGUCCCAGCCAAACUUCCUCUCCGCUGACAAAGAGCCAGCAAAAUCAAGAGCUUGAGACGGAGUCUGCUGCUGUGACUCAAGGCGCUCCUGACCCACCUGAACCUCUGGCUGACUUGGUGAAGCAGGAAGGGUCAGCAGUUCUCAAUAAAGGGCUGUUGGGCCAUCUCCAGCAAAGUCCGUGUAAGAGACCGCACAGUCUUGCAGAGAACCCUGAGGAUGCUGUGAAAAAACCUUCUGAAACAGUACAAGAUUCCCCACUUGGGUCUUCCAGACUUAAGAGUCUAACUUUGGGACAGCCAACUGCCAGGAAGCUUUUCAAAAGCUAACAAACAAUUGACUGACUCCAUUACAAAUAUACCUGGUUCGCUCAAGAUCUUUGGAAGUGAGAAGCUGGGUAUGCAGGUGAUUUUCAAAGGCUUUUCUGCAGUUGCACGUUCUAUGAAGAACAGCUUGUUUUAAAGUAAAUCACGUCUAUUUUCAGUGAUCUGUUUUUAGUAAGAGAUUCUUUGAUGUGCUAGUCUUCAAAAGCUGUAUUGAUUGUUUUGUUCCGGUGAAGAAUGCGCUUACAGAUCUUAUAGGAUCUAGAAGCUCCCUUAGAGAACACGUGGGGAGUUCUUGGAUUAAAGACUCCAGCCAUCCAUACCAAGAUGUACAUCUCCUCACGCUACAGCACUGAUGAGAAGCCCUUACUGAUGUGCCAAAAUUUCAGUUUGCUCUUGAGUCAAACAAAUAGUUUACAAAGGAGACUUCACAUUUUUCUAAUGUGGCAGAAUUAUGGGCAUGAAGCUUUGAUGGAUUAUGGAUUUUAAUCUUGUUAUAAAUAGAACGAGAAAGUUGCAAUCAAUCAGUGACACACAGUUUUUUUCCACUUUGUACUUGAAAGAGAUGUGAAACUUGGCAAUGCUGUUCCACCUCAUAGAUGCCAAUAAUGCUCUUUGUAAGAAAAGCAAAAUUCCAAGUUCAAAUCACAUCCCACUUUCACCCACUUUUUUGUGUACUAUGUGACUUGCUGCAUUGUAAUUUCUGCGAUUAAUAAGAUGAAUGUUUGUUCAAACUUCAGACAAAUUGUGCUAAAAUUUGGACAGCUUACUUAUAACAUUUUUAACGUAUAUGGCAGGAACAAGUGUACCACAAAGAUAAACAUGGGAUUUUUGCUAAAACUUUGUAUUUUUCUACAUAUUUUUUCCCAAGUAGAAGAAUACUACCUCAUUUUUAAUGUCUUUAAAUCACUGUUUAUUUCAAUUUAUACAGUUUUUCCAUACAAAUAUUUGCAACAGUCUGAAUUUCAAAAAACAUAACAUAGACGAUAAAUAUCAUGCUAUUAAAGUAUUAAAUUUGUACAAAAAUACUUUACAGUUUAAUACUUAUUUGUUACAAAUAAAAAUACAUAUUUAAGUGA